rnacentral:rRNA from 1 species
UACGUAGGGUGCGAGCGUUGUCCGGAAUUAUUGGGCGUAAAGAGCUUGUAGGCGGUUUGUCGCGUCUGCCGUGAAAGCCCAGGGCUUAACCCUGGGUCUGCGGUGGGUACGGGCAGACUAGAGUGUGGUAGGGGAGACUGGAAUUCCUGGUGUAGCGGUGAAAUGCGCAGAUAUCAGGAGGAACACCGAUGGCGAAGGCAGCUCGCUGGGACGGUACUGACACUGAGACGCGAAAGCGUGGGGAGCAAACAGG